rnacentral:rRNA from 1 species
GAUGAACGCUGGCGGCGUGCCUAAUACAUGCAAGUCGAGCGAACGGACGAGAAGCUUGCUUCUCUGAUGUUAGCGGCGGACGGGUGAGUAACACGUGUAUAACCUACCUAUAAGACUGGGAUAACUUCGGGAAACCGGAGCUAAUCCCGGAUAAUAUUUUGAACCGCAUUGUUCAAAAGUGAAAGACGGUCUUGCUGUCACUUAUAGAUGGAUCCGCGCUGCAUUAGCUAGUUGUUAAGGUACCGGCUUACCAAGGCAACGAUGCAUAGCCGACCUGAGAGGCUGAUAGGCCACCCGAGAACGGGGACACGGACCAGACGCCUACGGGAGGCAGCAGUAGGGAACCUUCCGCAAUGGGCGAAAGCAUGACGGAGCAACGCCGCGUGAGUGAUGAAGGUCUUCGGAUCGUAAAAAUCUGUUAUUAGGGAAGAACAUAUGUGUAAGUAAAUGUGCACAUAUUGACGGUAACUAAUAAGAAAGCAACGGCUAACUACGUG